rnacentral:lncRNA from 1 species
GAAAAGCUAAGUUUGGGGUAAAAGACCCCAAAAGCUCUCAAAGCCCUAGAAAGUGCAAAAACAAAAGAAAAAGAAAAAUUAAUGAAUCGAGAAAAAGAAAGAAAAAUAAAAAUCAAAUACUCGACGACUCAAAAGAAAGAAGCACGGAAAAGGGCAGUCGGUAAAAAUUCAAGAAAUAAGAAAAGAAAACCGAGGAAAUAAAAGAAACAAACACAGGAUAAAACA